rnacentral:rRNA from 1 species
ACCGCAUGGUUUCGAUUAUUAAAGGAUUCCGGUAAAGGAUGGGGAUGCGUUCCAUUAGGUUGUUGGUGAGGUAACGGCUCACCAAGCCUUCGAUGGAUAGGGGUUCUGAGAGGAAGGUCCCCCACAUUGGAACUGAGACACGGUCCAAACUCCUACGGGAGGCAGCAUG